GUGUAAACACAAGCCGAUCCAGCCGGCGGUGAAUUGAAAGCUGGUCGAACAAAAAUCAUUUUUUCUUUUUUCAUUUCUUUCUGUACUCCUGAGGUUCUAUCAUGGAUUCCCUAUCUACAUGAGCAAAGCUGAUAGGAGCAAACCCCAACAGACACAAUGUCAGUCAAAUGUGGUUCAGCCCAGUAUUUACACAGGCUUCACCUUUCAGCAGCAAGCAAGGGACCCCUGCUGAACACACACAGGUACCAACUGACUGCAAAAGCCUAUAAACCAACAGGAAACUCAAUCAAAGCACAACUGACAAAUGUCAUUUUAUCUGGUGUUUGUGUUCCCUCCUUUAUGGUGCCACUCUGGGUAACUGCCAAAUGACCUAUAUCAUUAUUUCCUCUGAUUACAAUUCAGAUGGUUUACGUCAAAGCAAGUAUCACUAACUACUAGUUUAUAGAACUAAUUAAAACAUUUUAAAAGUAAGAAACAUUCACCAAUUUCCCUGCAAAGGUAUUAAUUAAAUUUUUCACAUUUUUCAUGAAUAAAUCAUCCUGAACUGUUUCAACAUGCCAAUUGACCAGAGAUGUGAAUUUUUCAGUGUCAAGUGAUUCAAUACUAUUCUGAUUUUUGAUUCAGACACAAAUUUUUCUAUUCAAACAAUCGACAUAUAGUUCAAAUUAUGUUCCAUACUGUAUCAAAUUCAGUUUUUAUGUAAACAAAAAUAGGUUGGUGAAUAAAAUUCUGCAAUUUAAAUUGCCAGCAUUAGGUUAGCUUAGCUGCCUGGCUUGUUGUAAAAUAAAGAAACAUAUAUGAAAUAAUUAUUCACAAUACAUACAGUGGCUGAGUGGACACAUGAUAUGCAAAUAGGAGCAGUAUAGACAUAAACCAAAAUUUAAAUUGAUUUUUUCAGCAUUUUAAUUGAUUUGAAUUUCCCAUCACCAGAAAUUGUGAUUCCCUAUAAAAUCAUAUUUUUUCUGCACCUCUAUUAUUGAUAAGUUUUUCUAAAGCCUGGGAAAGAGUUGAGCAUCACCACGGUUUGUGUAGAAUAUAUGCAAAUCUACAGAGCUGCCUCUUAUCACAUGCAAAACGCCCUGAUCAUCACCAGCCCUACAUGCAGCCACACUCACUGUAUUCUUGUCUCUGCUAGAAAGAGCCACACAGACAUAAACACAACUUCAUUUGAAUGGAUAAACAGACCAGGCUCUAAAUACUUCCACUAUCUUCCCUUCACGCAUUUUCUCUUCUUUUCUCUCCCUCUUUCACCAUGUUUCACCAAUGACUCAGACUUCUAACUUUCCUCUGUUGCAGGUGACUUUCUGUUCAAUCAUCUCAGUUUUUCUUGUCCUCCCUUCUUCUCUCCUCUGCUCUCCACGUGUCUCCACCUAUUUCUCUAUCCACUUGACUUGCAGUUAUCUGUCAAAUUCCACCCUGGCAGCUGCUGUGCCUGAAUCAAUCAGAGUUGACUAGCUUUCAGCUUAUCUCCACCCGUGGUGAUUGAUUUUCCUCGUUAGGUAUAAUUUGAUGCUCUAUCCCAUCUCUUCCAGAGCAAAUUAAAUUGUAGUUGAGUCCAAUGCGCUGGUGUGAGCGAGCACGUGUAUGUGUGAGAGGAGCAGGAAAAGAGGGAGACCGAGUAGCACAGCAGACGUGAAAACAGUUUUCUCUGUACAAAUUAGUGUCUAAAGGUUACUGCAUAUAGUGGAAAGUAUACUGAUCAUGUUAGAUCACAAUGCUAAUGCUAACUAGCAACUACUUAAAAAAUAUUUAAAGAUGUUUUUGUUCAUUGAACAUUUAAAAUGAGCAAAAAUGUAGAAGAACUCAGAGUACAUAACCCCAACUCAACAGUGUGUGACUUUAAGCUUUUUGAUCAACAUACAGAAGUCUUUUUAUGGAGGAGAGCAAACACACCACUCAGAUCAUGAUCUGAGCAAGAUGGAUGGAGUGAAAUACAGAGUAAUACUGGAAGAAAACCUGUUGGAAGCUGUAAAAGACUUGAGCCUGAGAUUUACCUACUAACAGGAAGGUGAAUCUCUUUCUACAAAGAGAUUCUGCAUAAAGAAAUAGUACUUUUUAAUUUAUAUUAAGGAAUUAUUGGCUUACAAAAUGCUUCUAUAUAUUGCUGAAAAGUUACUUGUAAGUUAGUUUAGUCUUUUUUCAAGUGUACUAAGAUAUUUGCACAAUAUUAGUCCAAUACGUUAUUCUUCUGUUGCGUUGUGUGUAUUUACUCUUCUGAGAGAGGAAACAGCAAAGAGAGAACGCAGGCUUCCGACAGGCAGCGGUGGGAUGAGGCUAGGCUGCUUUGCAUAUUAAUAGAGCAGAUGUUAUGUCAUUUUGAAGAGCAGAUAUUGUUUUUUUAAAGACACAUACAGUAUCUAUACAACUUACAUGAAAAUACUGACAAAAUAGUCAGUCAACUAACACAGAAAGUGUAGUGUGGAAAGUAUGGUGGAAAUAUUUGUUAGCUUACAGACCUUUUAGGGUUUUUUGUUAUGUUUUGCAUGAGAGAUAAUCUAAAUAAAAAAAGUUGUUUUCUUAAUGACAGAAACAGUAUUUUGAAAAAAAAAAUAUUUCACACAGACACACAGACCUGCUUACUGCUCAACACAAUACGCAAUUUACAUAAUAUAGUGAAGCGCUUGUCUUCGUAAGUCACGAAAAACACACAGCAGUUAAGAUCGAUGAUCUUAACUACAGAGAAACGAGACAUCUCGCAUAGGCCCAUCUCACAGUCCACAAAACAUAAGCUGAUGAUCUCCAGAAUUUUGGAAAAAUAUUCUGUAUAUUGACGUGAAAAAAGUAAACAUUUUAGGAACAUGAGUGUCCCAUAAAAUCUGACAUGAAACUAACACAAUAUUUCCACAACCAAACAUGAUGGUGGCAAACUGACGAGUUCUGUUCUUUAUGAGACUAUGCUGAAGGAAAAUCCACCUACCAGUUAACUACCCUAAACUCUGGCAUAUUUGGAUCAAGCAGCAGAACCAUUAGCUGAAGAAAACCAGCAAUCCCCCUCUGAAUGGCU